GGAGAAGUGGCCGAGUGGCUGAAGGCACACCCCUGCUAAGGGUGCAGACUGGCAAAAACCGGUCUCGAGGGUUCGAAUCCCUCCUUCUCCGCCA
rnacentral:tRNA from 7 species